rnacentral:rRNA from 1 species
AGUGAACGCUGGCGGCGUGCUUAACACAUGCAAGUCGAACGAGAACGGAUUAUAGCUUGCUAUAAUUGUCAGCUAAGUGGCGCACGGGUGAGUAAUGUAUAGGUAAUAUGCCUCUUACUAAGGGAUAACAAAUGGAAACGUUUGCUAAUACCUUAUACUCCUUAUUAACAUAAGUUAAUAAGGGAAAGAUUUAUUGGUAAGAGAUUAGCCUGUAUUGUAUCAGUUAGUUGGUGGGGUAAUGGCUUACCAAGACUAUGACACAUAACUGGUUUGAGAGGAUGAUCAGUCACACUGGAACUGGGACACGGUCCAGACUCCUACGGGAGGCAGCAGUGGGGAAUAUUGCACAAUGGACGAAAGUCUGAUGCAGCAACGCCGCGUGGGGGAUGACGCAUUUCGGUGCGUAAACUCCUUUUAUAUGAGAGGAUAAUGACGGUAUUAUAUGAAUAAGCACCGGCUAACUCCGUGCCAGCAGCCGCCGCGG